UGCUGAGAUCUCAUGACUCAGUGUCAUGAGGGAGGCUUCUCCUUCCUGUGAGCAGUAAUCAGCUCGCUAGCAAAUCUCCCUGUGCUCCUGCAUAUGUGAGGACACCUCCUUUCUUUGUUGCUGACUUCAGGAAUGCAGCAAUCAGACGUGCAUCAAAAAUAAUUGUAUUCAAAUGAAGAUAGCAAGCCUCCUGCCGUGUGCUGUAUGUACUUAACCUCACAGAAGAAAACUCCGGACCAUGGGAGCUGCCUGAGUGUGGCACUGGAAGGAAGAAGGACUUCGAAUUCAGCCCACACAGUCAGCUGGAGGACAAGGUGUGAGCGGGGAACGAAUAGCAGCUGCAACCUCAAGUCCUCUGCUAGAGAGAAGCCCUCGAGCCAGCUGAGCACUGCUGAGCUUUCAUCUGCAAGCACAACUGGGGCUCUGUUGGGUUUAGCUGCACUGCCACGAGAUGCUAUUGCUGAAACUGCUCUUUUCACCUUGCUGCCCAGCAGCAAGAACAAUGCAAGUUUAUAGGGCUGUGCUAGGCACGGGGCCAGGAGGUAUCCUCUCUGCCAUCCCUAGAGUCAUGCAACUGUAUGGCAUCUGCAUCGUAAAGGGGUGCUGUUAACCUGCCAGAGCCCGACAUGAAAAAAGGAGCAUCUACCUUGCCCUUAAAGCUGCUAAGCUUGUUAUAGGAACUAUGGGAGCUGCUGAGUUAGAGCUGCCUGGGUUUGUUUGGGACCAAUGCCUUCCGAGCUGUGGCAGCAGAAACCUCUGCAUUAGGCAUCCACAUACGGAUCUGGGCUUUGGGACAGGAUUUGCUUAAAGCCAGCUUGGUUAAGCCACAGUCGUGACCUGAAGGGCCAUGUGGCAGUUCGCACUACUAACCUCCCAGCAGAGCAAUCUGCAAGGUUCAUUGCUUCUCCAGGUAUUUCCACAGAGCUCUCAUUCUCAGGACUUGUUCUUAUUCUUUGGUCAUCGUGAGUGAGGACAAAUUCCAGCUAAAUGAGUAGUCUUAAACGAUUUUAAGGAUCAGAUAAAUUAGCAAAAUUACAGAAGCAAGGCUUCUCUGCAAGCAGUGAUUCACAUGCACUCAAAUCCAUGUAUGAUUUCAUUGUCAGAAAAAACUAACCUACAGCAAUGUCAUAACAAUGAAAAUGCACCGCUGCAAAACUGAACUAAAGCAUACAGCAUGUGUAAAUCUGUCCUAAAACAUUUUUUUUUCUCCUUAUUUCACAGCUAGAUAUUACAGUUGUGUAUGGCUGAACUUAUAUUGGAUUGUCAAUGCUAAGAGCAUGAUCCAGAUGUGAUCCUGGUUGCAAACGGAUGUUAGCCGUAAAUCCCUGAGGGUAUCUUGUUAUACAGUUGCUUGGUAUUAUGUUCAGGGUUUAUUGAAAAUGUCUAGGUCCUUUUAUUUUAUUUUUUCUCGGAAAUGCUGGUCCCUGUACAGCCUUGCCAUCACAUUGAUUUACUUGGAGGAGUGGUUGCUCAAGAAAAGGGUUGGUAACUGUCCAUAUUAUGAAUACUGAAGAGCAAAAGAAAAAGAAAACACAUUUGGAUUAUUCCCACAUACUUUGCCAAUACUGUGUUACUUUAAUUCCUUGCACAUGUAUUAUGCCCAUCAAUGACAAUAAGUGUAAAAAAAUUAUUACAGAGAGUAAAAACCACCCUUAUGUAUAACUGACCGCAGCACUUCUUGCUCAUAGCCAUCUAAUCGGGAUGUAAGUAGAGUAGUUUGGUGCCUUGAAAUUCAUUCGGCUGUGACCUUUUAGAAUACAUCAAUAACGGCAGCGGAACAAUGCAUUGCAGCCACCCCGUUACAACCAUGUUUGGGGACAACCGGCUUUCUAAAUGCGCUUUUCAUUAUUUGAAAAUACGGAUGUCCUUUAAGAAUUAGUUGCAAAUUCAAUGUGACUGGCAAUAACGGCGGCAGAAAGCAGCAUUUUCCUAAAAGAAUCGAAAACUGUAAGUUAUUUGCACAGCCUCUUUGCUCCUGGAGGCUUAAGGGAAAGGGACGAACACCUCGGGCGUUACAUGUACGGAGUGGAAAUCGCGGCACGUCCACGUAUUUAUUUUUAUUUAUCUUUCUGACUGCGCACAGGGCGUUAACACCGACGGGGUUAAAAAAAAAUAAAUAAAAUAAAAGGGGGUGAAGAGAAGCAAAAGGGCGAGGGGAGUCGGGAUCUCGCUUACCCGUGCGGCGGAGGGGCGGGGGACGCCGGCCCUUUCCCAGGGAAGUGUGGGGUGAGAAGAGGAGGCUGCUGCUCAUCCCCACACCCUAGAGACCCCGCAUUUUUUAAUGAUACCCCCGAGGGUAUUUUUGGGGACCAAGCACGGGGAGAUGCUGCCCAGCGUGUCGGUGACAUUUGGAGUUAGCCCGACCUCCGGCAUCCCCACCCUGCCCGCGGGCGCCUGCCUCCUGGAGCAGGAGGCACCGGCCUCCCUUUUAGGGCGACGAGGAGGGAGGCUAUUUGUUAAUGGGCUGCCUAAUUACCCCGAGCCGCUAACUGCAGCCUGCCGCCCUCUGAUGUGGUGCCUUGAAUUUGUUGGCGUCGGGUUUGUUGGUGCUGGUGGUUUGUUUUUUUUUUUUUUUUCCAGCAGGAGUUUAAUUUACAGAACUGGUCGGACCCGCUCUGGGAGAUAUUCUAACGUUUUGUAAUGAACCGUCAGCCCGGGCAGGAGCAAAGCCCCCAAAUUUUGGCGUUAUUCAAUAAUUCAAAUAAUAAUUCAAUCUGAGAAUUGCAGUUUUGGCGUAAGGGAAGCGCUUUGCUGAAGUCAGAUUGCAAUUUUCUUUGGUUUGUCGUUGUCUGGUUUGUGGUCGGUUCUUAGUCUUUUUUCCUUUUUCCCCUUUUUCCUUUUUCCUUUUUUCUCUUCUCUUUUCUCUUUUCUCUUUUCUCUUUUCUCUUUUCUCUUUUCUCUUUUCUCUUUUCUCUUUUCUCUUUUCUCUUUUUUCUUGUUUUCCUUUUCCUUUUCCUUUUCCUUUUCCUUUUCCUUUUCCUUUUUCUUCCUCUUCUUUUUCUUUCUUCUUCUUCUUUUUUUUUUUUCUUUUUCUUGUUUACCUUUUUCUUUUUUACCAUUUUCUUCUUUUAAAUUAACUUCGUUCUCAGACUCUUCGGUAAAGCGGCUAAAUUGUCAUGAAAAUUGUUUCCCAACGAGAGCCGAGCGCUUGCGACAAGUGCCAAGAGCAGUUUGCUCCGGUUUUCAGACGAAAACCCCGCAAAACGGAGCCAGUGUCGCUAGGUGGAUGGAUGGGCAGACGGAUGGACGGAGGGAGGGAUGGAGGGACGGAUGGAUGGAUGGAUGGAUGGAUGGAUGGAUUUGGUCCCAUGGCAAACACCUCUCUGGGAGCUUUUGCCCGAUUCUGCUGCUUUGUGGCAUUUCUUAGCAAAGACAAAAAAGAGCGCAGCGAUGCACGGCGGGCUCGUUUGGGAGCACAAAACGAUAUUUUCUUAGUGCUGUGAGGUAGUGCCCUGGGAAUAGUUGUUAAUGGGGAAAUUUGCCUGAUUUAUUCUUUUUCAAGUAAAAAAAAAGAACUGAGUCCCUGCAACCUCUGCUGUGGGGGUGGAGGGGAGGCGGGAUGGAUUUGGGUGUAGGCUGACACCGCCGUGAUAGCGGAGGGGGAGGACGAGGGGCUCUCCUCGAGGAUGGGCAGGCAAAUCACGGCUCCCCUCUGCCCUCCGUGCCCCUGCUCCCGGCUCCCUCCCGCUGGGAGCUGCCGCGGCGAGGAGCCCGAGGACCUUUCCCCGGGGCUUUCCGUGCCCGAGAGAGAGGGGUGAGGGCGGGUUUUGGGGCGCUGGGCUUGUCCCGGGACCCUCCCGGCACCUGGGGGGCAUCGCCCUAACCUUGCCCGCCCCACCGGUACCGGGGCUGCAUGGCGCGGCCACCGGAGCCUCUCCUCCGCGCCUUGCGCUGCUUUUAACACCGCCUUUUUUUUUUUUUUUAAAGGUUGAAAUCAUUAACCAGGCGGAGCUCGGGGGCUGGAGGAAGGGCAAAUAAAAAAGAAGCUGCAGAUCAUUAUUAAAAAA